rnacentral:misc_RNA from 1 species
AACGCACCUUGCGCUCCUUGGUAUUCCGAGGAGCAUGCCUGUUUGAGUGUCGUGAAAUUAUCAACUCCCAUUCUUUGUUGAUUGGUGAGCUUGGACUUGGGGAUUGCUGGCGCAAGUCUGCUUCCCUUGAAUGAAUUAGCUGGAAUUUGAUUCGCAGCAUAUAUGCGGUGUGAUAAUGUCGUCACUGUGUAGCUCGGAUUGUCUGGCUUCUAAUCGUCCUUCACGGACAACUUGAUCUUUUGACCUCAAAUCAGGUAGGACUACCCGCUGAACUUAA